ACUUUUAGAGUAUAAUCUAUUAUACAUAGAUUUGCACUAACCCCUCUCUUGACUUCGGUCAACUCAACUCAACUAAACGAAAUCCCUUUACAUGGUUCCGUCCUGUGUAAGGGUGUGCAUUUCGUGCAGCCUCUGCUCCUACUACGUGUAGCGGCAGAGACAUUUCCAGGUUCGCACGUCUUGUAGGAAACGGUGUGUACUUUUAGUGUUUACGCUUGUAUCGGUUCCGCCCGAUAGGUAUUGCACUAACAGUCUUGUGGGUUGUUCCGACCUUCCCCUUGUGUGGCACUCCUAUUCCGACUAGUG
rfam:Lucheng Rn rat coronavirus isolate Lucheng-19, complete genome.